rnacentral:rRNA from 1 species
GAUGAACGCUGGCGGCGUGCCUAAUACAUGCAAGUCGAGCGAACAGAUGAGGAGCUUGCUCCUCUGACGUUAGCGGCGGACGGGUGAGUAACACGUGGAUAACCUACCUAUAAGACUGGGAUAACUUCGGGAAACCGGAGCUGAUACCGGAUAAUAUAUUGAACCGCAUGGUUCAAUAGUGAAAGACGGUUUUGCUGUCACUUAUAGAUGGAUCCGCGCCGCAUUAGCUAGUUGGUAAGGUAACGGCUUACCAAGGCAACGAUGCGUAGCCGACCUGAGAGGGUGAUCGGCCACACUGGAACUGAGACACGGUCCAGACUCCUACGGGAGGCAGCAGUAGGGAAUCUUCCGCAAUGGGCGAAAGCCUGACGGAGCAACGCCGCGUGAGUGAUGAAGGUCUUCGGAUCGUAAAACUCUGUUAUUAGGGAAGAACAAAUGUGGAAGUAACUAUGCACGUCUUGACGGUACCUAAUCAGAAAGCAACGGCUAACUACGUG